UAAUUGUUAACAUUUGAGCAUAUACUUUGUUAAACAGGGCUUUAUGCAUGUGCGUUAUGUGGCAUCCAAGAUUAGCCUGUGCAGUCCGGACAAUACUUUCCGCUUUGAUGGAAGUAUUCGUUUAAAUGAAAAUUUUGCUAAACAAAAUCUAGUCCAAGCGGAAAGUGUCCUCCUUAAUUAGUCUUUGUGAAAUGCACAGGUCAAUCUGGAACAUUGUCCUUUAUUAGUCUUUGUGGAAUGCUCAGGUCAAUCUGGAACAUUGUCCUUUAUUAGUCUUUGUGGAAUGCACAGGUCAAUCUGGAACAUUGUCCUUUAUUAGUCUUUGUGGAAUGCACAGGUCAAUCUGGAACAUUGUCCUUUAUUAGUCUUUGUGGAAUGCACAGGUCAAUCUGGAACAUUGUCCUUUAUUAGUCUUUGUGGAAUGCACAGGUCAAUCUGGAACAUUGUCCUUUAUUAGUCUUUGUGGAAUGCACAGGUCAAUCUGGAACAUUGUCCUUUAUUAGUCUUUGUGGAAUGCACAGGUCAAUCUGGAACAUUGUCCUUUAUUAGUCUUUGUGGAAUGCACAGGUCAAUCUGGAACAUUGUCCUUUAUUAGUCUUUGUGGAAUGCACAGGUCAAUCUGGAACAUUGUCCUUUAUUAGCCUUUGCAAACUGCACAGGCUAGUGUGGGGCGACACUAUGCAAAUGCAUUAAUUCCUGUUUUUUCCAGGGCGUGGCUCAUGUUUCAGGUUUGAUAGACAGCCCCAAUUCUGAUAUUGUACCUUAAGAUAAUGGAAGGCUUCAUGCCAGUCAUUGUAAAGUUUGACAGAUUUUUCAAAGCUGAGCAUUUUAAAUGGCAGGGUUCAUGGUUCAUGAGUAUGAUAUUUCAUUUAAAAUUGCAUAGCUUUUUAGUCCCCUACUGGUUUUGUAUCCAUCCGUCAGUCUGUCACACUUUUCUGGAUCCUGCGAUAACUCUAAAAGUUCUUAAUAUUUUUUCAUGAAACUUGGAAUAUGGAUAGAUGGCAAUAUGGGCAUUAUGCACGUCAUUUUGUUCCUACGUCAAAAAGUGUGGUUGCUAUGGCAACAAAUAGACUAGAAAUACUGCUGAAAAUGGUGUUUUUUUCUAGAUCCUGCGAUAACUCUAAUAGUUCUUAAUAUUUUUUCAUGAAACUUGGAAUAUGGAUAGAUGGCAAUAUGGAAAUUAUGCAUGUCAUUUCAUUUUGUUCCUACGUCAAAAAUUGUGGUUGCUAUGGCAACAAAUAGACUAGAAAUACUGCUGAAAAUGGUGUUUUUUUCUGGAUCCUGCGAUAACUCUAAAAGUUCUAAAUAUUUUUUCAUGUAACUUGGAAUAUGUAUAGAUGGCAAUACGGACAUUAUGCACGUCAUUUCAUUUUGUUCCUACGUCAAAAAUUGUGGUUGCUAUGGCAACAAAUAUACUAGAAAUACUGCUGAAAAUGGUGUUUUUUCUGGAUCCUGCGAUAACUUUAAAAGUUCUGAAUAUUUUUCCCGAAACUUGAAACAUGGAUAGAUGGCAAUAUGGACAUUAUGCACGUCAUUUCAUUUUGUUCCUACGUCAAAAUUUCUGGUUGCUAUGGCAACAAAUAGACUAGAAAUACUGCUGAAAAUGGUGUUUUUUCUGGAUCCUGUGAUAACUUUAAAAGUUCUUAAUAUUUUUUCAUGACACUUGAAACAUGGAUAGAUGGCAAUAUGGACAUUAUGCACGUCAUUUCAUUUUGUUCCUACGUCAAAAAUUAUGGUUGCUAUGGCAACAAAUAGACUACAAAUAAUGCUGAAAAUGGUGGUUUUCUGGAUCCUGCGAUAACUUUAAAAGUUCUUAAUAUUUUUUCAUAAAACUUGGAACAUGGAUAGAUGGAAUUAUGGACAAUAUGCACGUCAUUUCAUUUUGUUCCUACGUCUAAAAUUAUGGUUGCUAUGGCAACAAAUAGACUAGAAAUACUGCUGAAAAUGGUGUUUUUCUCUAUCCUGCGAUAACUUUAAAAGUUCUUAAUAUUUUUUCAUAAAACUUGGAACAUGGAUAGAUGGAAUUAUGGACAUUAUGCACGUCAUUUCAUUUUGUUCCUACGUCUAAAAUUAUGGUUGCUAUGGCAACAAAUAAUAAAAAAUCUGACAAUGGUGGAAUUUCUGACAAUGGUGGAGCCGGUAGGGGACUUUUAUUGCUUGGCAAUAGUCUUGUUCAUAAUGUUUGUUUAUCUGACCAUUUCUUAUUUGGAUUGAUGCAGGGACUUGGUUGUUAUACAAUAUUAUUAUUAAGGAUGCACCAGAUUACAAAAAAACAAUUACAACCCAAAACAUCUCUAAGUAUACUACAUAUCAGUAUCUUUAUUAAAAUGUUUUAUUCAAUAAAUUGUAAUAUAAUUGUAUAUGUGUGUUAUAUAUUUUAUUAACCCUGUGUAAAAGUAUGGGGAUAAGAAGUUUUGAGAACAAAUAAACAAAGAAACUACGUACAUUUUCACGUAUCUUUUUGUGUGUGUGUGGGGGGGGGGGGCCUCCUUAUGUUUGCGUUUGCAUCUUAUUGCUCAUAACAAUGUUGUGUUUCUUUGUUGAUUCGGUUUUAAUUUUUUUAAAGUUUGAAAUUCACAUGAUCUAUGAAUAAAUGAAAAUGAAAUAUUUUAAAUGAUCAGUAUGUUCAUUUAAAAGUGAUGUUAGUAAGUGUUAUUAUCUCAAAUACUGCUAGUUUGUAUGUCCCCCAGUCUAUACCGGGGAACAUAUUGUUUUUGCCCUGUAUGUUUGUUGGUUUGUUUGCAUCAAACUUUAGCACUGGCCAUAACUUGUUGAAUAUUGAAGAAAGAAACUUGAUAUUUGGCAUGCAUGUGUAUUUCAUGGAGCUGCACAUUUUGAGUGGUGAAAGGUCAAGGUCAUCCUUCAAGGUCAAAGGUCAAAUAUAUGGGUUGGACAUAGUGUUUCACACACACAUCUUGUUUAAAUAAGUGUUUGAUUGCUGUUUUUAAUCAAAUGAGAUAAAUAAUUUGCUUCCUUAAUUCAAACUUUCCUUGGACAGUUUUGGUGGCAUCGUUGAUGACGGAAAUUAGUCAAAUUACUAAUUAUAUUAUUAACCAGGUUUUCCGAAGGAAAAAACUGGUUAUUAGAUUGGCGAAGGCGGGCGGGCUGGCUGGCGGGCGGGCGGAACAAGCUUGUCCGGGCCAUAAUUAUGUCGUUCAUUGUCAGAUUUUAAAAUCAUUUGGCACAUUUGUUCACCAUCAUUGGACGGUGUGUCGCGCGAAAUAAUUACGUCGAUAUCUCCAAGGUCAAGGUCACACUUUGAG